GUGGGGAAUCUUCCGCAAUGGACGAAAGUCUGACGGAGCAACGCCGCGUGAACGAUGACGGCCUUCGGGUUGUAAAGUUCUGUUAUACGGGACGAAUGGUACGACGGCCAAUACCCGUCGUAAGUGACGGUACCGUAGGAGAAAGCCACGGCUAACUACGUGCCAGCAGCCGCGGUAAUACGUAGGUGGCAAGCGUUGUCCGGAAUUAUUGGGCGUAAAGGGCGCGCAGGCGGCGUCGUAAGUCGGUCUUAAAAGUGCGGGGCUUAACCCCGUGAGGGGACCGAAACUGCGAUGCUAGAGUAUCGGAGAGGAAAGCGGAAUUCCUAGUGUAGCGGUGAAAUGCGUAGAUAUUAGGAGGAACACCAGUGGCGAAAGCGGCUUUCUGGACGACAACUGACGCUGAGGCGCGAAAGCCAGGGGAGCAAACGGGAUUAGAAACCCUUGUAGUCC
rnacentral:rRNA from 1 species